AUACGAAUUAACAAUUGAACGUAGAAUGUAUUUGUAUAUUCAGUUACUUAUUUGCUUGUACGUUGAACGCAUGUUCUAAUAAACCAUGUUGUUAUGGAGUGGUUUAUUAGAACAUGCGUUCAACGUAUACAAAUUUGGUUGCCUACUCUGUUGAAGCGCGCCGACUGCGAUCGUAGCAUCCGUUCCGACGGCUGUCGUCAAGAGAAACAAAAGAGUGCGGGGAUAGUCGCAAUCAAGAGUGCGAGGAUAGUCACGAUCAAGACCAGCGAACGCUAUGUCGUGGGGCUGCCGUUCUUGCACUAAAUUGUACGGUACCUUGAAUGGGAGUCACUUCUACCGCUACCUUCGCAUGGUGCCCUAAAUGGAAGUCUUUAUGGAUCCUUUGGAUGAAGCAUUGGCUAUUCCUGAGAUGCCCAAUACGGCGCAAGUGGAGAGGUUCCGUGGUACUGGUAGAGUACGUAUUGAGGAUGAUGUUUUGAUUACUGAAGAUGGAUGUGUCAACUGGACUGAAAUACCAAGAAUUGUCUAAGAAAUUGAAGAUUGGAUUGCCGGUGAUGAUGAU